GUACAAAAGUCGUAAGUACAUCCAAUAAAAUUGGAACGAUACAGAGAAGAUUAGCAUGACCUUUGCGCAAGGAUGUACAAAUAGAAAAAAUAAAAGUUUUA
rfam:Solanum lycopersicum cultivar Heinz 1706 chromosome 8, whole genome shotgun sequence.